rnacentral:rRNA from 1 species
UACGUAGGGGGCAAGCGUUGUCCGGAUUUAUUGGGCGUAAAGGGCGCGUAGGCGGCGAGGUAAGUCUGGUGUGAAAUCUAGGAGCUCAACUCCUAAACUGCACUGGAUACUGCUUUGCUUGAGGACUGGAGAGGAGAUUGGAAUUCACGGUGUAGCAGUGAAAUGCGUAGAUAUCGUGAGGAAGACCAGUGGCGAAGGCGGAUCUCUGGACAGUUCCUGACGCUGAGGCGCGAAGGCCAGGGGAGCAAACGGG